GGAGAGUUGUCCGAGCGGCCGAAGGAGCUGGUUUCGAAAACCAGUAUGCGCGAAAGUGUAUCUAGGGUUCGAAUCCCUAACUCUCCGCCA
rnacentral:tRNA from 1 species